CUUCUUUUGUGUUUUCCCCAAGUGUGUCUACCUCUGCUACAGCUGGUUGUUAAACCAGCUCUGAGUGCUGUGUUUCAUCUCCUUUUUCUUGUCGGAUGCUGGUCUGAGCUUAUUCAAGGUCUUUAUCCUAUUGUCUUUCAGCAGCUGCCAUCCCUUGUUUCUUUGCUGUCAUUCCAGACUUCUGAGUUUCAGGAUACCACUGUUGGUUUUGAUUGCUGUCUUUCUAACUGCUGUGGGAGCCAAGGAAGGCAUGCCAAAAUCUACAUCAACAGCAGUCAAGCCAGGGUCCUCAUGGAAUUCAGCUCCAGUCCCCUGUUAGGCUGUCUGUUCCCCACUGGAUGGCAGUCCCUGCAAUGUUAUUCACUCUGGGAAGGAAAGUCCAGCUUUGAAGCAGCAAGCUGAAAUCUCAGACUGCUCUGUAGAUGAAUAUGUACGUGAAAUGCCACAGCUGAAACCUCUAAAUGGAACAUGGUUCAUUGAAAGUGAAAUUUCCUUGGUGCCAUCUUUGAGUCAUGGGUACCUCCUCUUCAACAUCAUCUGCAAAAUUCUGUGCAAGGCAACAACUUAUUUAAUGUUGCAUGAUAUAAGCAUAGAGGAGAGACUGCAACUGGGAUGUUGACACUGCUGUUGCAGAUUGUACAGGAAGUAAAUUAUGCAGACAUAGAUACUUAAUGCAGCAGUAAUAAUGUUAGUUAGAAAGCCUCACUUUGAAUUUGAAAAGAAAAUAGAAGACACCAGAGUAAGGAGAUUGGCCAAAAGACCCUAUCAACUGUUAGUCUGUGUAAGCCAGAGUCCUAUUAGUCUCCAGCUAUGCUUCUGAGUCAGCUUGCUGGAUUAGGAGUGCCAGAUCCUGCUUUGCCUCUUAGUGCAUGUCAAUAUUGGAACAAGCCAUAAAAAGGCAGGUUCUGUUUCACAAAUACCUCCGAGUCUUUCAAAACUUCUGAAACCUUCUGAAACUUGUAACCAGCUAUGGCUGUUGAAACCUCUGCUUGCAGAGUGGAAAGGUCAGUCUCUCUAUUUAAGUGUAUCUCUUUUAUGUACACUGGACUUGCAAAAUCUAGUCAAAAACGUUGAAACUGAUAAUUUGAACAAAUGUGUUUGGUUUGACAAAGCAGUUUCUGAAGUAAAAUCUAUUCUUUAAACAGUCUUGCUGUAGUUCCAACAUAAUAAUAAGGCAGCUAAGAGGCAUGGCUCUCUCAUUUAAAGAGUCCUGCACAGAACAGGAUUUUUGUAGUGACUCCUUCUCACCACAUCUCAGUCCAAUGUGUCUCUCUGUGGGCCUGGAACUGGUUGUGUGGUUUUGGAACUGUUUUGAUCAGAAAUUUUAUUGGCAGGUCAUUCCUGCAUGAGGGCUGUUGAUGUACCUCUGCCCUGUACCUUAUGGAACUAUUAUUAAACUCUUUUCAGACAAGACACGGGCUUUUACUCUCCUGGUAAUUACGUUCCUAGU
rnacentral:lncRNA from 1 species